UGCCAGCCGCCGCGGUAAUACGGAGGGUACGAACGCUAAUCGGAAUUACUGGGCGUAAAGCGCGCGUAGGCGGUUUGAUAAGUGGGACGUGAAAGCCCCGGGCUCAACCUGGGAACUGCAUUCCAAACUGUCAAACUAGAGUGUGGUAGAGGGAGGUAGAAUUUCCUGUGUAGCGGUGAAAUGCGUAGAUAUAGGAAGGAAUACCGAUGGCGAAGGCAGCCUCCUGGACCAACACCGACGCUGAGGUGCGAAAGCGUGGGGAGCAAACAGGAUUAGAUA
rnacentral:rRNA from 1 species